AGAUAACUUCUUAUUACAGAAUCUUACACCUAGCAUUCCUUAACUCUUGUGAUCGACUGUGCAACCUUUAUGUUCUUUUAACCUAGUUCUGUGUUUGUAAUUUAAUUAAUUUUUUUUUUGUCCUCUGUUAGGAAACUGGGAGGUUCCUCCCCACAGUUGCGUUAGCAACAUUCUCUCGGGAGUCAGCGGUCAAGUUCAUCAUUUGCUCUCACUGAAAGAAAGGAGCAAGGAGAUUGGGUCCUUGCAAAAAAUAAAAAUAAAAAUAAAAUAAAAUAAUAAAAAAGACAUCUCUAGAGAUCCAUGGAAGCUACCACUAUUCAGGCUGAGCCCCCACAUCCCUCCCUCACUGGCUCUCUUCUCCUGUAGUCCCUAUCCCAGCUCCAGGACAGCAUGAAAGUCUGUUUUUCUCAGUUCUCUUUCAUUCCUUAUGUGAGUGUAUAUGAGCUUCAGUUCUCUGCCUGGAUCAUAAUCCACAAGAAUAAUUACAACAAGGGAAUACAUAUUUCUGAAGAAAGGGAGGAAAAGGAGUAUGUGAGACAGUGAGAGUAUGAGGCACAAUGGAAGAGGGAGUGAUUGAUAUAUGGUUUUAGAUCACACUUGUCUUGCUUUAUCUCAGUAACUGUUCAGUCCAUAGCACAUUUGUAAGUACUCCAACAAUGUCAUACUGCACAGAGAGGAGUCCAGCACAGCAUAUUAAUUUUGAAUAUCAAAGUACAGCACUGAUUUGUCUUACAUUUGGGCAAUCAUAUUCAUGUACAUGUAAGUCUUUACGCUACAAUACCUAAAAGACUAAACGGGGGUGGGGUGGGGGGGAAGAUGUUUGAUCUGGAUUUAUCUUUUUUAUCCUACCAUCCAAUUUAGGUAAAAGCAACCAGCUGUCAUUUCCCUUGCCUAUAUAUACACCGACUUAUCCUGCCCACCCGCCAUGUUGGUUAAGACAACAUACUGAAUGUCCCACAGAUCAAUAAGCUACAGCAUAUGAGGUAACAAUUAAUUUUACACAUGCCACUCAGGGAAGCAAUUUGCCUUUCUGAAAGUGUUUAUAUGAAUCUCUAACUUCUCAUUUUAUAUACACCAUCUUCUGCAUGUGUUUUUCUCAAAUUCUGUACAAGCAAUACGAUACUAUAUUUCUAAGGGUAGGGAUUUUGAUGGACUUCAUUUAUACAGUAUUUCAGUGUUUGCCUUAAAAAUUACACACUUCAAAUACAAGAAAAGGAGUACUUGCAGCACCUUAGAGACUAACAAAUUUAUCUGAGCAUAAGCUUCCUUCAUUUACAGCUCACUUCAUCGGAUGCAUGCAGUGGAAAAUACAGAAGACUUUUUUUCUGACCUUGGAUAGGUAGAUCCUGCCAUCACCCAAGUGCAAAACCCCUUUGAGAACCCAGGAAGCACACUAGGGAAUUCCUUCCUGUGGGUUACCCUCAAGCCCUUUC